UCCAAAGAGUCGAGUGUUCUCACUGAACUGUAUUGUUUGACACCUCCGAGCUUUAUAUCGUCCAUUUAUUCAUCUGAUAAUAUUUGCUCCAAUUUACUAGCUCUCAUACAGCUCCUUGCAGGCGUUUGUUUGAGAACAGUUGUAAGAUGAACCCGAGACCGUAUGCCCUGAAUGUUAUUUACAAAUUCCUCCAUAGAAGGGACGCACUUAUUUUUCCCUAGUGGGCGACGUUGAGAAGGCAGUCUGUAUCGACCAAGCGUGCAAUUGCAGACCAAUCCUCAAUUUUACACGAUCCUUUAAAUCAUCUCUAUCGGUCUUCGCUUAUGACCCAGCAUGUUAUUUUAACGAUAUGUUUUUGUUAGCAGGUGAGAAUUGUAUACAGAUAUAUUUCCAGGCCAAAGCGAGGACAGUGUGUAUUAGACAGCAAGCCGACCUGCUUUAGCUUCUUGUACCGAUUCGGCUGAAUCUCUCGGUUACGAGCAACAUACAAGGCCUGGGGUUUUAUCGACCACUCUCGGUUGACUCAAGGUGAGGACGUCAUCAUGGUUCCUGAGUGAGACCGGGCGAGCAGCGUGUCCUGGAUGUUUGGUGGACAGUGCUUCAGUUUUAUCUAGUGUACAUCAGCCUCUUUCCCCACCUUUCCUUCCUCCUCCAAUUUGCCAUGCCAUGGUUUCGUUAAAUCUUAAUCAACAGCAUUGUCCCAGCAUCAACAACGACCACUGGACAGCAAACUGUCUCUACUUCAUCGUCAGAGCCCCGAAACCAGCCGGCCCACAGAUGGAUUGAUGCCUGAGAGCAGUUACUGGCAGCUCUGCCCUCCGUCGAAGGCCAGCCUGCAGGGGGUGCUCAGCUCCAGCUUCCCCCCCGGCCCCGUGCCCCUGGGUCCUCCAGAAAGCCACCUGCCGGAGGGGGAUGCCCUGAACCGUCCGCUCGCCCCUAGCACCUCUGUGACGGACCUGUCUUUUCCCGGGCCUCCCCCUCCCCCCCCGCCACCCCCCAAACGCCACUGUCGUUCGCUGUCUGUACCAGAGGACCUUUCACGCUGCCGGUACACCUGGCGGCCGAGCGCCUCCAAGGUCUGGACACCAGUGAACCGCCGAUGCCACAGUGGAGGGGGCGCGGGGGGGCCGUGUCCACUGCGUGCCCCCAGCUCCUCGCUAAACUCCUCGCUGCAUUCUUCUUCCAGCCCCACCUUUUUCAGUCUGGCCCUUUCCCCAGAUUCCCCACUGCCGUGGACUUUCCCCUGGGACCCGAGUGACGGUGCUGGAGGCGGCGCCUGCUGCUGCUUCUUCCCCUCGCCAUCCUCAUGCUCCUCCUCUCCUUCGCCACUCCACCCGCCGCCUCCUCCACAGAGGCGCUUUUCCCUCUCUCCUGUCCUCAUCCGAGAAGCUGCCGCCCAGUUCCUGCCGCCACCUCCGGUGCCCCCACAAAUCACGUCUCACCCUCCAGCGGUGCCCGCCUCGCCCUCGUCCGCCUGCAGCACUCCGUCUUCGGUGCGCCGUGCUCUUCCUCCUCAACUUCCACGGUGCCAUUCUCAGCCCUGCGACCUUCUUCUGCUCAAACCUGGCCUAAAACGCCGCAGGGACCCGGACAGACCAUGUGCACGGCCUGUGCUAGACUUCGCCAAAAUGACACAGACUCGAAGCACAGACCCUCUUAGUUAUAUGGAACGUGGCCGAUUGGCCUGUGGGGGUGAUGUCUGUAUGGGCCUUGAGCCUUUUUUUGGAGACUUCAGAGGCUCAUGUUCACCAGCUGAAGGCCUGGGUAGGACAAGUAUUGGGCCGUUAAGUGAAAGUGACGAGGAGGAGGAGAGAGAGGAGGAGGACCCUGAAGAGCGUGACGGAGGACAAACUAGCGUGUUUGAAAGGGAUUGUACUGAACUAGAUCUCACCCUCAUUGAGGAGAACUGAAAGUUAUCUGGGGAAGAUCUCCUUUCCCCCCCUCACCUCCACCGCCAGCAUUCAGCUCUGCACCACCUGCUACCUUACACUGGCAGGCCUCUCAGGAACCCUGCUGCCCUCGCACGAGGCGCGCAGGCGUAGACGCCCAUUAAUGAAGACAUGCCGACUACUAUCAUAUGCAGGCAGUCACAGACGCUGACCCAUCAACAUUGUACAUUCCAGAAUGAGUUUGCUAAGACAGUCUGAAGGAUGCAAAUAUUUCAAAAAGGUUUUAUGUGUAUCGGACGUCCUCUUAGAAUUCAUCUUCAAACUGACAGAACGUAACUGGAGGCGAAAAGCUUCCCGCUUCUUUCUUUUCUUGUCUUUCCUCUUGACUUCUUUUGAUAGUAAGAAUAGACUUUCUUGGAUGAUGGUUAUAAAUAUCAGUGUUUUGUUCAGUUGAAAUAUAAAAGGGCAGUAUGACAUAGCAGUAUUUACUCUGCAGACCUUUAUACUUCCUGACGAAGGUCCAUCUAAUUCAACAUAAGCCUUAAGAUGCCUGUUUUUUUUCUUCCUCUUAAUCAAAAGAUUCCUCAAGGAAAUUAAUUGUGUACUGUAGCUGUUGUUCUGUUUUUUUUUUCUUCUUUUUUUUCCUGCAGACUUUUUUUUUUUUUUUUAAUCUGUACAAUGCAUUCCUCUAAAACUGAAAUGUGUAUACAUUUAUUAAUGCACUGUAUUUGGGACAUUUAGAAAGAAACAAUGAAAGCAACCACUGUAUUCUGAAGGCACAUUGUUAUACUGUAUUGUACAGCGAGUAUUUGUUCAAAUAAGUUGUGUAAAGAUGGUAGCUUGAAGGUUGGAGACAGGCUAUUUCUGUCAUUUAGAGUUUUUUUUUUUUUUAUUGUAUGUGUGAUCAAUUCAGACUCAGUUUAUGUAAAAAUAAAGUUUAUUUGAAAUUACAGUGAGUUGACAUACCCAAAUGAGUUGUGUAAAACUGAAAUAAUUAACACCAUGAUAGCAAAAUGAUAGAAGUAAAUGAGUGAUUCUGUUGGGCUUUCCUUUUUCAAAAUUCAAGAUUUUGUUGCUUUCUCCCUCAUUUAAAAUUAAUCUUUGCUGUUUGUUUGCACACUGGCAAUAUUACAUAAAUACAAGUAAAAAAUGUUUUUUUUAUUUUUUUUAUUUAAAUUGACUCACUGCAAUCUCCUGGAUGUUAUAAAAUGGAAUGUCACAUGCCUUUUGAUGGUAAAUUUCCCACUGAGGUACGUUGUAUGUUAUGCAAGUUGAAACACAUUUCGUUUAGUGUAAGUCUUUAACUCAGUUAUUUUUAGUGUUUCAUUUAUAUCACAUAUUUUUCAAUUGAUAUUUAUUUGUAUAGUGCUUUUACAAUACAUAUUGUUUCAAAGCAUCUUUACAGAAAACUUAUGUUUCUAGUUACAAUUAAGAGUAUUAUGUUAUCUACGGUGGCCCAUUGCUGCCACAUAAUAUUUUUUCCACUCAUUUAUAACGAGAUUAUGUCGUUAAAACGACGUUUUCUCGUAAUAACGAGAUAUGUCGUUAAAACGACCUAUUUUGUACGUGACAGUGCCUUUAUCAUACUUCCGCGUUCAAAACGAAAAGCAGGAGUAAAUAGCGUAAAAUACCUUUCGAUGCCUGUAUUAAUGGCAGUGGCCAUAGCACGAGAUUGUGAUUUGGUGUACAGUUAAUCACAGAUACUUCAUUUAACCCAAGCUUUCUCAAACUUAUAAGGUAGAACAUUUUCCAAGAACCCCUUACAAUUAGCCUAGCCUUUAACAGUAAACCCAAAGUCGGUUUUUGUUGGAGUAAUGAACACAAUAUAAUUGUUUUAUUUCUAUAUUUAUAUUUAUUUUUUGAGAUAAAAAAAAAAUCGCAUUAGUGUAUCAGUCGCAUUUUAUUAUUACAUUAAAAUAAUGUAGGUAAAAUACCAGCAAAAACUAAACGUUUAGAAACAUUAGGCAAUAAACAUGUAUUUUAGGCUAUUUCCACAACAAAUCCUGUAAAUUUAACCGUAUUCAGUCAAUACAAAACAAGAAUGAAAAUAUAAGUAUAAAAUAAACAAAUUAUAGUAGCAUUCAUUACAAACAAUAUUUUUUUAAAGCGAAAUUAAUUUAUUUAAAGCGAAACUGAAACCGUCGUCGGGCUCGCGUAUCAAAUGAAUGAGAGUAUAAACCAUAGACUAAAAAAAUGGUAUAAACCCUUCAAUUUAAACGUGUUUAUGUGAAUAUCUUUUAUAUAUAGUAGUUCUGUUGUGUUUGUUUUAUGUUUGUUUGAGAACAGACAUUACUUUUUUCCUCACUGGAAUUCCUGCACAACUUGCAAUAUUAUAAAACAACAUUCGAAAGCAAUAAAUACUACAUUAAGCAAUUCUAAGAUGACAUUCUACGCGUUUAUCGUUUUAUUUAUUUAUUAAACAGACUUCAACAGCAACACAAUUCCGUUUACUAAAGUCUGUCAAUCAUCAUUAGAGCGCCACCCUCAGGAUAAUUAACGCAAGGACAUUAGAAUUCUGCCAAAAGUGUGUCUGUGUUCAGCGAUUAGAAUAUAAAUCUUACAAAAAUGGUAACUAGCAUAUGUAUUAAAGAAACGUCAAAAUGAAGUUUGUAACUAUUCAAUAAUGUGUUCAGAUUUCUCUGCUCAUGCACGCGACUUCAGGUGUCCAUGCGUGCGAAUGCGUGAUUCGAAUUUUAGUCGCUAUAGCGACGCGUGUUAUGAAUCCUGACUGCACAUGUUUACACUUGAACCGAUCGCUAUAUGUUGAUUGAGAGACGAGGCGAAUUCAGAGACUUUGGCAGAAUAUUUUCUGUGCUGAUCUUGCGAUUUUGAAGCUGUUCGGAGGAUUUCAGAGAGGAGACUUUUAUUCUAGAAGAAGAUCGGAGGAUAUAUCCUUUACAUAAAGUUUAAUUUUUUGAAGGAGUUCAUAUUAUUUCUAAGGACAGUUUUAUUUUAUUGUUCUUUUCUUAUUAUAAAAGGAGUUUUGAGUUUUAUUUUAUUUUUAUUUUAUUUUUUUGGAGGGGAUUUCUUAGGAGGGGGGGGGGGAUUUCUUAGGAGAAUUGUAUUUUAUUCUGUUUUUUGUAUUGUAUGUUGUAUUGUUUUAUUUCAGUUUACAGGAGGAUAUCGAUGGCUCACAUGAGUGAAAGAGGAGGUGAGUGCUUUAGGUUUUCAUUGUUUAUGGUAUGUUAUGGUAUGAUGUUGUACAAUGAUUGACUAAAUAUGAAGAAACUUGUGUCAGGUAACCCAUUUGAUCCCCCAAUUUUCCCAGCUAAGUGAUCACAUGUAUUUGAUUCUUAUUCCUUGCAUAUGAAAUAAACUUUUCAAUUUGAGUAACUAUAGUAACAAUUUGUAAUUGACCACUGACAUUGAUUAUUGAUUAUUAUUAAAACAUUUGGUUUGGAGACCCGGUUCUGAUGACCGUGAUCAGGAUCCGCUGCCAGACUCGACCCAGACACAGAGAGGGCCAGGAGCUUCCUGGAUAUUUAACACCUCUGUCUUCUGAUUUGGCUGUUUCUGUGUCCUCAGGUCAGGAUCACCGGAGGAGGGAGUGGCAGAGCGGCAGCCAGCAGAGGCCAGAUGAUGGACGUCCGUCCACUUCAUCUAAACUCUCUCGCAGAGAUUCCCUCUCUGAGGACAAUGUUGUGAGGCGGUUCAGCAGAGAGUCCAUCAGCCUUAGCAGCAGAGGCUCGUACAGCGUCGAAUGGAGGUGGAGUGGUGAUAUUUCGGACAGCCCAAGCGAACAGGAGAGUUGCAGCAGCAUCUGUUUGUCCAGGUCCGACAGCCUCGAAGGGUGGACGUGCCCUCCGCUGCCAGGUCAAGUUCCUCUUGAGCCACCAGAGACUUCACAUGGCCGAACUGCUCCGGGAGCCAGGGAAUCUUCUCCUGUGACCAAGAGCUCAACAG